rnacentral:rRNA from 1 species
GAUGAACGCUGGCGGCGUGCCUAAUACAUGCAAGUCGAGCGAACAGACGAGGAGCUUGCUCCUCUGACGUUAGCGGCGGACGGGUGAGUAACACGUGGAUAACCUACCUAUAAGACUGGGAUAACUUCGGGAAACCGGAGCUAAUACCGGAUAAUAUAUUGAACCGCAUGGUUCAAUAGUGAAAGACGGUUUUGCUGUCACUUAUAGAUGGAUCCGCGCCGCAUUAGCUAGUUGGUAAGGUAACGGCUUACCAAGGCAACGAUGCGUAGCCGACCUGAGAGGGUGAUCGGCCACACUGGAACUGAGACACGGUCCAGACUCCUACGGGAGGCAUCAGUAGGGAAUCUUCCGCAAUGGGCGAAAGCCUGACGGAGCAACGCCGCGUGAGUGAUGAAGGUCUUCGGAUCGUAAAACUCUGUUAGUAGGGAAGAACAAAUGUGUAAGUAACUAUGCACGUCUUGACGGUACCUAAUCAGAAAGCCACGGCUAACUACGUG